CUUCAAACUUGGGUGUAGGGUCUGAUAAACUGAUUUAGUGCUGUCAUCAACUUCUUCUUUUGUACCUACAUUUUUGGAGUCAAAUAACAGCACUAUAUCU